rnacentral:rRNA from 1 species
ACUCCUACGGGAGGCAGCAGUGGGGAAUAUUGCACAAUGGGCGCAAGCCUGAUGCAGCAACGCCGCGUGAGGGACGACGGCCUUCGGGUUGUAAACCUCUUUUAGUAGGGAAGAAGCGAAAGUGACGGUACCUGCAGAAAAAGCACCGGCUAACCACGUGCCAGCAGCCGCGGUAAUACGUAGGGUGCAAGCGUUAUCCGGAAUUAUUGGGCGUAAAGAGCUCGUAGGCGGUUUGUCGCGUCUGCUGUGAAAACUGGAGGCUCAACCUCCAGCCUGCAGUGGGUACGGGCAGACUAGAGUGCGGUAGGGGAGAUUGGAAUUCCUGGUGUAGCGGUGGAAUGCGCAGAUAUCAGGAGGAACACCGAUGGCGAAGGCAGAUCUCUGGGCCGUAACUGACGCUGAGGAGCGAAAGCAUGGGGAGCGAACAGGAUUAGAUACCCUGGUAGUCCAUGCCGUAAACGUUGGGAACUAGAUGUAGGGUCCAUUCCACGGAUUCUGUGUCGCAGCUAACGCAUUAAGUUCCCCGCCUGGGGAGUACGGCCGCAAGGCUAAAACUCAAAGGAAUUGACGGGGGCCCGCACAAGCGGCGGAGCAUGCGGAUUAAUUCGAUGCAACGCGAAGAACCUUACCAAGGCUUGACAUAUACCGGAAAAGUUCAGAAAUGUUCUCCCCGCAAGGUCGGUAUACAGGUGGUGCAUGGUUGUCGUCAGCUCGUGUCGUGAGAUGUUGGGUUAAGUCCCGCAACGAGCGCAACCCUCGUUCUAUGUUGCCAGCACGUAAUGGUGGGAACUCAUAGGAGACUGCCGGGGUCAACUCGGA